CAGGUGUAGAGUAACAACAGGUGUAGAGUAACAACAGGUGUAGAGUAUCAACAGGUGUAGAGUAUCAACAGGUGUAGAGUAACAACAGGUGUAGAGUGACAACAGGUGUAGAGUAACAACAGGUGUAGAGUAUCAACAGGUGUAGAGUAACAACAGGUGUAGAGUAUCAACAGGUGUAGAGUAUCAACAGGUGUAGAGUAUCAACAGGUGUAGAGCAACAACAGGUGUAGAGCAACAACAGGUGUAGAGUAACAACAGGUGUAGAGCAACAACAGGUGUAGAGUAACAACAGGUGUAGACUUUACAGUGAAAUGCUUACUUUACCAACAACACAGAGUUAUAUACGAGGAGUAGCAGUACUGAGUCAAUGUGCAGGGGUACGUAGUAGUUGAGGUAAUAACGAGGCUAUAUACGAGGAGUAGCAGUACUGAGUCAAUGUGCAGGGGUACGUAGUAGUUGAGGUAAUAACGAGGCUAUAUACGAGGAGUAGCAGUACUGAGUCAAUGUGCAGGGGUACGUAGUAGUUGAGGUCAUUGAAGUAUUACAGUAUGGCCGUGUUCACAUGCUAGUCGGAACUAAGAAACUCAGACGUUUUCGACUUGCUGAACGCGGCACGUGUAACCAGUUAGCAAGUUGGAAAUGUCAUAGAUUCCUAGAUUCGACUAGCAUGUGAACGUACAGUUGAAGUCAGAAGUUAACAUACAAUUAGGCUGGAGUCAUUAAAACUCGUUUUUUCAACCACUACACAAAUGUCUUGUUAACAAACUAUAGUUUUGCCAAGUCGGUUAGGACAUCUGCUUUGUGCAUGACACAAGGAAUUUUUCGAACAAUUGUUUACAGACAGAUUAUUUCAUUUAUAAUUCACAGAAUCACAAUUCCAGUGGGUCAGAAGUUUACAUACACUAAGUUGACUGUGCC
ensembl:lncRNA